CCCUUAGAUGUUCUGGGCUGCACGCGUGCUACACUGAUAUUGCCAAUAUGUCAUUCUUAUCCGAAAUGGAUUGGGUAAUCAAGUAAUGAAAUUUCAUGCUUGGAAUCGGUAAUUGCAAUUUUAUCGUGAACGAGGAAUUCCUAGUAAGCACUAGUCAUCAGCUAAUGUUGAUUAUGUCCCUGCCCUUUGUACACACCGCCCGUCGCUCCUACCGAUUGAAUGCUCAGGUGAGCCAUUCGGACCUUCAUCAUGCCGGUUUCCGGUUUUGAUGAGGGAAAGUCUUGCGAACCUUAUCAUUUAGAGGAAGGAGAAGUCGUAACA
rnacentral:rRNA from 1 species